rnacentral:rRNA from 1 species
AUGUGUGUUCCGAAAGAAAGAGGUGGGAUGGGUUUCCGUGAUAUACACAGUUUUAAUUUGGUGCUACUGGCCAAGUAGUGUUGGAGACUCAUUGAGCAUCAUGACUCGCUAUGUGCGAGGGUUUUGCGUGCCAAAUAUUAUCCUAGUUGUGAAUUGCUUAACUGCAGUUUGAAGAAAGGUUCUUCUUAUGUGUGGCAGAGCAUUUGUGCGGGAAUCCAGACUUUC